rnacentral:tRNA from 1 species
CGGGCACUAACUCAGUGGUAGAGCUCCCGCUUCAUAUGCGCGAAAGCCAUGGAUUCGAUUUCCGUCUGCUUGC